rnacentral:lncRNA from 1 species
CCUAAACACCUUUUGAGCCUUUCACUAUUACUGCUUAGUUAGGGCUUGUUGAAUUAACGGUUGCAUCAUCAUGUCAAGUUGCUAGUCUUAGCAUCUAGUUGUUUAGAGUUUCAAAUUAUAGUCACAUUUGUUUCACCAUAUCAUACUAGAGUUUCUUUGUUUCUCUCCGCAAAUCAAAGUAGAUUUCCAAAUUCCCUUAUUUUGUUUACCACCAUUACCCUAACCACGUCCUUAGAGGUUUCAUCCACGUCCAUC